ACCUCUUUUAUCGGCCCUGGUUUCGGACUCAUUCAAUUCCUCGAACUCGGCGUUUAGCUUCUGGUUGGUGGGGGAAAAAAGAAGAACUGGGGAAGAACCCGGCGACGAUACUCAGCUCUUUUUUCCCUCUUGUUCUUCCUUCUUCGACCUUCUUCCCCUUUUUAGGACCAACCCCUUUUCCCCAUUUUUUUUUGUUUUUCCCCUUUCCCUGUUCAGUCCCCUGCUUUUUUCUUAACGGUUUCACAGACUUCCCCCUUUGGCAGAGCUUGAAACUUCAAGAAAUUUCGUUUCUGGGUUUGCGUGCUUUGCUUUCUGUGAAGUGUUACAUUCAUCUAGUUCCUGUUUUUCCCUUUCCUUUGGAGUGCUGAACUGGCUUGGGUGGGAGAAGAAGUUGUAUGAGUUCUGUCGAAGACUUUCGACCAGGCCAGAAGGUGAUGAUCCAUAUGGAAGAUGAACAGGAUGGCGAGCUACCAAUUCCAUCUGGUCUCCUUACUGGCAUAAACUUUAGUGUGUCAAAUCAGCAAGAUAUAGAGAAUAUAGCGGUAAUAACAGUUGAUGCAGCCAACGAGGUAUCCGAUCCUAAGUUGGGACUUCCAAAUCCCUCUUAUCAGUGCACCACAUGUGGUGCUAGCUCUCUAAAAUUUUGUGAAGGUCAUUUUGGGGUUAUCAAAUUCCCAUAUACUAUAAUCCAUCCUUAUUUUCUCUCGGAAGUUGCACAAGUGUUGAAUAAAGUUUGUCCUGGGUGUAAAUCUGUCAGGCAGGAACUAUGGGGCAAGGUUGAGGAUCCAACAUCUGAUUAUAAUCGACCUAAGGGUUGCAGAUAUUGUUUUGGAAGUCUAAAGGAUUGGUAUCCACCUAUGAGGUUUAAGCUUUCAACUACUGAUAUGUUCAAAAAAAGUAUGAUUAUGGUGGAAGUGAAAGAAAAUAUGUCGAAGAAAUAUCAAAAGAGGGUGGCUAAAGGAGGUUUGCCUUCAGAUUAUUGGGAUUUUAUCCCUAAAGAUGAACAACAGGAAGAAAGUUACUGUAGACCAAACCGGAAAAUCCUAACUCACGCUCAGGUUCAUUAUUUGUUGAAAGACAUUGACCCGAAGUUUCUUAAAAAGUUUGUACCUGCAAUAGAUUCACUGUUUCUAAACUCUUUCCCUGUUACACCGAACAGUCAUCGUGUGACUGAAAUGGCACAUUCAUUUUCAAAUGGACAGCGUUUGAUCUUUGAUGAAAGGACCAGGGCUUACAAGAAGGUGGUUGAUUUUAGAGGGACAGCCAAUGAGUUAGGUUCUCGCGUUCUCGAUUGUCUCAAAAUUUCAAAGCUUAGCCCAGAGAAGUUACAGAAUAAGGAUUUGGUUUACCAGCAAAAGAAAAUUAAGGAUACUGCUACUAGCUCAUCUGGUUUAAGAUGGAUCAAAGAUGUUGUUCUUGGAAAGCGGAGUGACCACUGUUUCCGCAUGGUUGUCGUUGGUGAUCCAAACAUUGAGUUAAGUGAAAUUGGCAUACCUUGUCAUGUUGCAGAGAGAUUGCAAAUAUCUGAACAUCUGAGUUCUUGGAAUAUGAAGAAAUUAAGUACUUCUUGUUACCUUCAUCUUGUUGAAAAGGGAGAGAUCUAUGUUCGUCGUGAAGGUCGUUUAGUUCGUGUACGUAAUGUUCUUGAACUUAACAUGGGGGACACUAUAUAUAGGCCCCUAGCUGAUGGGGAUAUUGUGCUAGUUAAUCGACCACCAUCCAUACAUCAACACUCACUUAUUGCUUUAUCUGUCAAGCUUCUUCCUGUCUCUGCAGUUCUUUCCUUAAACCCACUCUGUUGUUCUCCUUUCCGUGGAGAUUUUGAUGGUGACUGCCUUCAUGGUUAUGUUCCUCAAUCUUUGGAAGCCCGAGUGGAGGUUAGAGAGCUGGUUUCCCUAGAUAAACAGCUAACUAAUGGCCAAAGUGGUAGAAAUCUGCUGUCACUUAGUCAUGAUAGUUUAACUGCUGCUCAUUUAAUUCUGGAAGAUGGAGUUUCGUUAAAUCUUUUCCAGAUGCAGCAGUUGCAAAUGCUCACUUUACAUCAGUUGUUGCCUCCAGCAAUUGUAAAAUCCCCUUUGCUUAGAAAUUGUGCUUGGACUGGGAAACAGUUAUUCAGCAUCCUCCUACCUCCUGAUUUUGAUUAUUCUUCUCCUUCUCACAAUGUUUUCAUUGAGAAGGGAGAAUUAAUAUCUUCAGAAGGAUCUUACUGGCUUCGAGACAGUGGUCGAAACCUCUUCCAAGCGCUAAUAGAACACUGUGAGGGCAAGACCCUUGAUUACUUGCGUGAUGCUCAAGGGGUUCUUUGUGAAUGGUUAUCGACGAGAGGCUUGAGCGUUUCAUUGUCAGACUUGUACCUCUCUGUGGAUUCAUAUUCUCACGAAAACAUGAUGGAUGAUAUCUUUUGUGGGUUACAGGAAGCUGAGGAAACAUGUAAUUUAAAGCAGCUGAUGGUGGAUUCACAUAAAGAGAUCCUCAUUGGAAAUGACGAAGAUAAUCAACAUUUGUUAUCUAUUGCAGUGGAGCGUUUAAUUUAUGAGAAGCAGAAAUCUGCUGCUCUAAAUCAAGCUUCUGUUGAUGCUUUCAAGAAAGUUUUCCGGGAUAUACAAAAUCUAGUUUACAAGUAUUCUGGUAAAGACAAUUCACUUCUUACUAUGUUCAAGGCUGGAAGCAAGGGUAAUUUGAUGAAACUAGUUCAACAUAGCAUGUGCCUUGGCUUGCAACACUCUUUGGUUACUCUAUCCUUUAGCCUUCCACAUAAGCUCUCGUGUGCUGCAUGGAACAGUCAGAAGAUGCCUCGUUAUAUUCAGAAGGAUGGUCUUCCUGACCGCACACAGUCUUUCAUACCCUAUGCUGUGGUUGAAAAUUCCUUUCUCUCGGGGCUUAAUCCGUUUGAGUGUUUUGCUCAUUCGGUGACAAAUCGAGAUAGCUCUUUCAGUGACAAUGCUGAAGUUCCUGGGACUUUGACACGAAAACUUACGUUUUUAAUGCGGGAUAUAUAUACUGCAUAUGAUGGAACAGUGAGGAAUGCAUAUGGAAAUCAGCUGGUUCAGUUUUGUUAUGACAUUGAUAGACCUACUAGUGAAUCGGAAAGUGAGAAUAAUAAUAGAGAUCGUGGUAUAGGUGGUCAUCCUGUUGGGUCAUUGGCUGCUUGUGCUAUCUCAGAAGCUGCAUAUAGUGCUUUGGACCAACCAAUUAGUCUACUUGAAGCUUCGCCGUUGCUAAAUCUAAAGCGAGUGCUGGAGUGUGGUUCAAAGAGGAAUAGUACCAAACAAACCUUUUCAUUGUUCUUAUCAGAGAAACUUUCAAAACGAAGUUAUGGAUUUGAGUAUGGAGCUCUAGGAGUUAAGAACCAUUUAGAAAGAGUAAUGUUUAAAGAUAUUGUGUCUAGUGUCAUGAUAAUCUUCUCCCCACUGCCCUCCCGGAAGAAGCAUUUUAGUCCUUGGGUUUGCCACUUUCAUGUAUGCAAGGAAAUUUUGAAGAAAAGAAGAUUGAAGAUGAAUUCUGUUAUCCAUUCCCUCAAUAUGCGGUGCGACUCUAUGAGACAAGAAGGAAGAAUGAAUUUGCCCUCUUUGCAAAUAAUAACCCAGGAUUGUCCUCUAGCUGAUUCACUGACAGAAGAUGGUGAUACAGUGUGCUUAACUGUUACAAUAGCUGAAAAUACAAAAAACUCUUUCCUGCAAUUAGAUUUCAUUCAAGAUUUGCUGAUUCAUUUCCUUCUUGGUACAGUUAUAAGAGGCUUUACUGAGAUUGACAGGGUAGACAUCACAUGGAAUGACCGCCCAAAGGUCCCAAAACCCCGUUGUAGUCAUGGUGAGCUAUACUUGCGGGUGACCAUGUCUGGAGAAGGAAAUUCAAGAUUUUGGGCAACUCUCAUGAAUAAUUGCCUUCCUAUAAUGGAUUUGAUUGAUUGGACUCGUAGUCAUCCAGAUAACACUCAUAGUCUCUGUUUGGCGUAUGGAAUAGAUUCUGGAUGGAAGUACUUUCUCAACAGUUUGGAGUCUGCAACGUUGGAUGUUGGUAAAACAAUACGUCUUGAACAUUUGCUGCUUGUUUCAAAUUCUCUUUCGGCUACAGGAGAAUUUGUUGGCUUAAAUGUGAAAGGACUGACACAUCAAAGGGAACAUGCUUUGGUCAAAACACCCUUUAUGCAAGCUUGCUUCUCAAGUCCUGGAGCUUGUAUGAUUAAAGCUGCCAAGGCUGGAAUCAAGGACAAUCUGUCAGGAAGUUUAGAUGCUUUGGCGUGGGGGAGAAUGCCUUCGCUGGGAACGGGGGGACAGUUUGAUAUCCUAUAUUCUGGGAAGGGGCACGAACUUAAUAAGCCUGUUGAUGUUUAUAAUCUACUGGGUGGACAAAGCACUUGUGAGAAGCAGAACACGAAGAUUGAAUCUCUUGAUAAGAACACUAUAUCUGAGAAAUAUAGUGCUCAGUUAAUGCUUAAAAAUGGAGGUUCUACCAUUAAAGGACUUAAAAGGCUGGAUAGUGUUUCUAAAUCAAUUUUAAGGAAAUUUUUGACACUGAACGAUAUUCAAAAGCUGUCGUUUGCAUUGAGAACCAUUUUACACAAGUAUUCUCUAAAUGAAAGAUUAAAUGAAGUGGACAAAUCAACUUUGAUGAUGGCUUUAUACUUUCAUCCUCAUCGGGAUGAAAAGAUUGGUGUUGGAGCACAAGACAUUAAGGUUGGUAGCCACUCAAAGUAUCAAAAUACACGUUGCUUCGUAUUGAUACGAUCGGAUGGAACAACAGAAGAUUUUUCAUACCACAAGUGUGUUUUAGGUGCUUUGGAGAUCAUUGCUCCUCAUAGAGUAAAGGGUUAUCAGUCAAAAUGGAUGCAAGAAAAGUUUGAGUGAUCCAUCUAUCAUGUACAUAUUCAAGCGUUCAGGUAUGUACAGUGGCAAAAUUAAAAUGGAGGUUUUGGUCUGAAGUAUCCUGAAUGCUGUCAAGUUGCCUUUGACUUAGCCUGUUGUCUUUAUCUUUGCGCAACACCGGAAAGGUUUUGGUGUUUCUCUUUGCUGACCUGUUGCACUACUAUUGAUGAAUUGUCACUUCGAUUUCGGUGAUGGUGUGGUUCAUCAGUUUUUGAAUCCGUAUACCCCUUUUUUAUUUUUUUAAUCUUUUUACGAUUUCGCCAAGAGUUAGUAUAGGAUGUAGAAUAUGUGAACAGGAAGAGAGCUAGAUAAGCUGUUAACCCAUUCUCUUUCUUUGUUUCUUUUGUCAAUAAAAAUAAUAAACUCUCAUCUUGUAUAUUUGAAUUCCUGAGCUUCUUUUUGCUCCUUCUACUCUAACUUGUUUGCCUUAAUAUAAGCAAUAGGCAGAAAAGAUCUAGUGGAAGCAGCAAAGAGAAGCUCGUUCAGGCUGGUCUCUUUAUAAUUUUUGGCUUCUUUAAAAGAUAGAGUCAACUGGAUGUUGGUGACCAAAUACUCUCUUUGAGAUGGUUUGUUGUGUCGGGUCUUGCAAAUCUGAUCGGGAUCUUUAAAUCAUCAGUUGCUGGAGGAUCUGGGCCUAUUUAUCGUAGAUGGAAUUGUUCUUGAAAACCUACCAACUUUGUUAUGAAUAGCUGAAAGGUGAAUUUGAGAUGAAUGUUCAUCUUAUAAAAUUUUCCCCAACGCUGUUUAUUUGUUUUUAAAAUUUACAUAGUUUCAAUCAUGUUUUGGAUUUGAAUAAAUCAAUGGUUUCAAUCAUGUUUUGGAUUUGAAUAAA